GAGUUUGAUCGUGGCUCAGGACGAACGCUGGCGGCGUGCCUAAUACAUGCAAGUCGAGCGAAUCACCGGGAGCUUGCUCUCGGCGAUUAGCGGCGGACGGGUGAGUAACACGUGGGCAACCUGCCUGUAAGACUGGGAUAACUUCGGGAAACCGGAGCUAAUACCGGAUCAAUCUUUUCCUCGCAUGAGGAAAAGCUAAAAGACGGUUUCGGCUGUCACUUACAGAUGGGCCCGCGGCGCAUUAGCUAGUUGGUGAGGUAACGGCUCACCAAGGCGACGAUGCGUAGCCGACCUGAGAGGGUGAUCGGCCACACUGGGACUGAGACACGGCCCAGACUCCUACGGGAGGCAGCAGUAGGGAAUCUUCCGCAAUGGACGAAAGUCUGACGGAGCAACGCCGCGUGAGUGAUGAAGGCC
rnacentral:rRNA from 1 species